ensembl:lncRNA
UCCCAGUGAGUAUAAGCUGUUGUUUUUAUAUAGUAUAUGUGUCUUGUGCAGUGGCAGAAAAGUGUGUGGAGGGGUUGAUAUCUGCAGCUGGUGACCCCAGUCUAUGUCUCAAACUUGCUCAGCUACACAAUUUCUUCAGCUGUCACCUGGAAGCUUACAGAGAACUGUGUGUUGUAGCUGACCCUCCAGCUGCCCUCAUUCUAGAGCCUCAUGUUAUGCAGGUAGUUACACACACCUACUGAAUAUUUUUUCUGUAACCAAGAAAUUCAGAUCGCUCUGGGUUUCAUAAUGAACUCUUGAUUCUUCAUUAUGACUGAAUUAUGGUGAAUUAUGGCUAAUGGUCUUUCUUUAUGUGGUGUGCAUGUACAGUUGCCCAACACUGUGAAGAUGUCUGUUUGUCAGCCCAAGCAGCCAGUGUCAGACUUGUAUCCCUGGGCUACAGUGGACUCGCAGCAGUUAUGCAUCCAGUGGUAUCGGCCCACACUGCAACUCAGUGGACUGACACACAACACAACUGUGCUUAUUUUUGCACUGAAUAAAGCUCCGCUCUCUGCCAUGCAUCCCAACAGAGUGGCCGUCGCUGAGUUAGAGGCUGGACAGCGGCUCAUCUCUACAGACAGGCUGAAAGCUCUUCAUGAACAGCUGAUCUCAGUGUGUGUGGAUGCCAAAUUCGAUUCGACUCCAUCCGCUUCACCUGCUCCCAGCUCGACUCCCUCCAUCAGCUCCAAGCAAGAGAGUCAGCGCAGCAGCAAAAGCUCUAAUAAACUUGACACAUCCAGCUAUCAGCAACAGAUGCUGCUGGAGAAGACCAAGCUUAUUUGUACGGAGAUAAGAAAUCUGCUGAGGCCGGAUUUAAAAUCAGAUUCUGUCACAGAGGUAGGCAACAUCAGCACAUUUCACAUACCAUCACUAUUCACUUGCAUCUCCGGCUUCAUCCCAGUGUCUAGGCAGCUCUACUAGACCUGCACAAUAUAUAAUUUGCUAAUCAUCAACCAUAUUGACCAGUACUGGUAUAAUGGAAGGC